rnacentral:rRNA from 1 species
AUUGAACGCUGGCGGCAGGCCUAACACAUGCAAGUCGAACGAGUGGCGGACGGGUGAGUAAUGUCUGGGAAACUGCCCGAUGGAGGGGGAUAACUACUGGAAACGGUAGCUAAUACCGCAUACCAUCGGAUGUGCCCAGAUGGGAUUAGCUAGUAGGUGGGGUAACGGCUCACCUAGGCGACGAUCCCUAGCUUGUCUGACAGGAUGACCAACCACACUGGAACUGAUCCCGUGUCGAGCUUCCAACGGGAGGCAGCAGUGGGGAAUAUUGCACAAUGGGCGCAAGCCUGAUGCAGCCAGGCGGCGUGUAUGAAGAAGGCCUUCGGGUUGUAAAGAACUUUCAUCGAGGAGGCGUUACUCGCAGAAGAAGCACCGGCUAACUCCGUGCCAGCAGCCGCGGUAAUAC